AAUAAAAGAAAAAACAAAACUUUAUUAUUCUUUCUCGAUGCAAACCCGUAAUCAAUGUAGAUUUCUCCAUGGUUACCACCAAUCCUUCUCUGCAAAUAACAAGGUUAGUCGGUUCAGCUGCUAUUUGUUUCACGAUGCAAUCCCUUUAAUGUUAAUUUUUUAUCUCCCAAGACCUAAUCAGUGCAUCAUCAAUGUCAAUUGUUAGAUUUUGAAGGUUAUUGCUUUCGAAUUUCAGUAUUUCGUGUUUGCUCUCCCCAUGUAUAAAUAUGACAGGUUUCUUUUCCAAAUUUCCACACCCCUCUGAUCCUUCUAUCUCUUGCUUCAAUAUUUUGCAAUGGCCGCCGCAAGGUGCGACUUUGUUACUGAAAUCACUCCGGCAAAAGAAUCAUGGGAUGCUGUUGUUCGAGUGAUUCGCUUAUGAGUGACAAGAUUCAGGAGAUGCGACUGAAAUCUUAUCUUGCACUCCUUAGCGGAUUCGGUGAAAUGUGAAGUUAUUGAUGGAGGAGAACUCGGGUCAAGAGAAGGAUUGGGAUGACAUCAAAUUUGGAGUCGAUAAUGAAGUUAAUUUCUAUGUCGUUUCUUUUGUUAAAGAUGCAGAAGAAUUAUUUGAAAAGUUGUGGUGCUGAUAUACAUGUAAUUGUAGAAAUUGAAAGUGAAAACUCUAUACCGAAUUUGCAUUCAAUUAAUACGGCAUUUGAUGGGGCUAUGGUUACAAGAGGAGAUCUUGGUGCAGAACUCCCUGAGGAGGUUACGCUUUUGCAGGAAGAGAUAAUUAGGAUAUGUCGUAGCAUGGGAAAGGCUGUUAUUGUGGCAACAAAUAUGCUUGAGAGCAUGAUAGUUCACCCCAAACACCAACCAGAGCAGAGGUAUCUGAUAUUGCAAUUGUUGUUCGAGAAAGUUCCGAUGGAAUAGUGCUUUUUGGAGAAAAUGCUCACGAAAAAUAAGUUUCCAAUAAAAGCUGCGAAAGUAAUGCACACAGCAACAUUACAAACGCAAGCCUCUUUAUCAAGUGGGCAAAACCCACCUAAUAUUAGUGUAAGUUUUGCUUCAACUGGUAUUGGAUAUGAUAACAUUACUACAAGUGUUGUGAUAAGUUCUUAACUAAUUAGGUUUGUUUUAUUUGGUUUCAGUUCACCAAAAUUUCAUAAGAGAGAAUUAUAAUUACUAUUGUUUUCUUGGUACUAUGUUUAUUUUUUACUAACUUAUAGUAAAAACCAGUUCAUUCUUCUUUAUCAAAUAUGGUAAAGGGAUGACAAUAUUAUUUAUUCAAUCUACAAUAUAUCUUGGAAUAAUAACAAAACACGCUUCUUCUUCCAAUGUUACGAGUUCUGAUGUCGUGGUUCAGUAUUUUUGAAGUUCUAAUUGUCACGGUGUUUCCUUGGUAUUCAGAUGGAGUAGUAAGAGCUUUAUGCCUGUUUGGUUAUGUAUUCUAUCAUGUGCUGGUUUUAUGAAUAUCCAUGACAAAGAUAAUGGUUGGACUUCAUAUUUGUUUAGAUGGGAAGGUUUUAUGUCUAUAUUAGGUGAAUUGUCACCACAUUUUUGGUUAAACAAGUUAUAUCGAGGUUUCAAACUGGGCAUGAAAACAUUGGCAGGAACAAAGAAAGGGGUUGGUUGGGCUAUUGAAAAUGGAAUAGUAUCUUAAUUUGUGUAUAUAGUUAGGUCUAUGGUUUGCAUGAUUUGUUCCUAUAUUAAACUUUGUAUGCAUGUUGGGCAGUGACAUAAGAGAAUAGAA